GAUGAACGCUGGCGGCGUGCCUAAUACAUGCAAGUCGAGCGAACAGACGAGGAGCUUGCUCCUCUGACGUUAGCGGCGGACGUGUGAGUAACACGUGUAUAACCUACCUAUAAGACUGGGAUAACUUCGGGAAGCCGGAGCUAAUACCGGAUAAUAUAUUGAACCGCAUGGUUCAAUAGUGAAAGACGGUUUUGCUGUCACUUAUAGAUGGAUCCGCGCCGCAUUAGCUAGUUGGUAAGGUAACGGCUUACCAAGGCGACGAUGCGUAGCCGACCUGAGAGGGUGAUCGGCCACACUGGAACUGAGACACGGUCCAGACGCCUGCGGGAGGCAGCAGUAGGGAAUCUUACGCAAUGGGCGAAAGCCUGACGGAGCAACGCCGCGUGAGUGAUGAAGGUCUUCGGAUCGUAAAACUCUGUUAUUAGGGAAGAACAAAUGUGUAAGUAACUAUGCACGUCUUGACGGUACCUAAUCAGAAAGCCACGGCUAACUACGUG
rnacentral:rRNA from 1 species